rnacentral:rRNA from 1 species
AGAGUUUGAUCAUGGCUCAGAACGAACGCUGGCGGCGUGGAUAAGACAUGCAAGUCGAACGCUAAUUCUGGUGUAGCAAUACAUCAGAGUUGGAGUGGCGCAAGGGUGCGUAACACGUGGGUAAUUUGCCAUGAAGUUGGGGAUAACUCGCUGAAAGGCGAGCUAAUACCGGAUGUGGUUAUGGGGUGGCAUCACCUGAUAACUAAAGCUGGGGAUCGUAAGACCUGGCGCUACAUGAUAAGCCCGCGGCCUAUCAGCUAGUUGGUGAGGUAACGGCUCACCAAGGCUAAGACGGGUAGCUGGUCUGAGAGGACGACCAGCCACACUGGAACUGAGACACGGUCCAGACACCUACGGGUGGCAGCAGUCGAGAAUUUUUCUCAAUGGGCGCAAGCCUGAAGGAGCGACGCCGCGUGGGGGAUGAAGGGUUUCGAUCCGUAAACCCCUGUCAUUCGUGAACAAUGGUUGCGAUUGAACAUUCCGCAACUUGAUAGUAACGGAAGAGGAAGGGACGGCUAACUCUGUGCCAGCAGCCGCGGUAAUUC